rnacentral:rRNA from 1 species
GUGAGGAAUAUUGGUCAAUGGGCGGGUGCCUGAACCAGCCAAGUCGCGUGAAGGAAGAAGGAUCUAUGGUUCGUAAACUUCUUUUGCAGGGGAAUAAAGUGCAGGACGUGUCCUGUUUUGUAUGUACCCUGAGAAUAAGGAUCGGCUAACUCCGUGCCAGCAGCCGCGGUAAUACGGAGGAUCCGAGCGUUAUCCGGAUUUAUUGGGUUUAAAGGGUGCGUAGGUGGUUUGAUAAGUCAGCGGUGAAAGUUUGCAGCUUAACUGUAAAAAUGCCGUUGAAACUGUCGGACUUGAGUGUAAAUGAGGUGGGCGGAAUGCGUGGUGUAGCGGUGAAAUGCAUAGAUAUCACGCAGAACUCCGAUUGCGAAGGCAGCUUACUAAGCUACAACUGACACUGAAGCACGAAAGCGUGGGGAUCAAACAGGAUUAGAAACCCUGGUAGUCC